rnacentral:tRNA from 1 species
AUUUAUUUAGUAUAAAAUAGUACAUUUGAUUUCCAAUCAAAUAGUCUAAUUAUUUAGAAUAAAUA